AAGUCGUAACAAGGUUUCCGUAGGUGAACCUGCGGAAGGAUCAUUACAAAUCACAGCGGAGGGUGUUGGUGCUGCAUAUUUUAGCAGUGCUGACUCCUGAAGCACAUAUGCACAGAGCGUGCGUGCGGGGUCCGCUAUAUGGUGGUAUCUCGCCGCAUGGCUUUGAUGUUCACGCUUGCUUGUUUGACAGAGUUAUAUUAGUGCAUCAAAUAUAGACAACUUUUAACAAUGGAUCUCUUGGCUCUU
rnacentral:misc_RNA from 1 species